AAAUUCCUUGUCGGGUAAGUUCCGACCUGCACGAAUGGCGUAACGAUGGCCAAACUGUCUCCACCCGAGACUCAGUGAAAUUGAAAUCGCUGUUAAGAUGCAGUGUACCCGCGGCUAGACGGAAAGACCCCGUGAACCUUUACUAUAGCUUCACAGUGGACUUUGAUAUUACUUGUGUAGGAUAGCUGGGAGGCUUUGAAGCGUGAACGCCAGUUUGCGUGGAGCCAAUCUUGAAAUACCAGCCUGGUAAUAUUGAGGUUCUAACUCAGGUCCCUAAUCGGGAUCGAGGACACUGUGUGGUGGGUAGUUUGACUGGGG
rnacentral:rRNA from 12 species